rnacentral:tRNA from 1 species
GGGCAGAGCUCAGCGGUAGAGCGCGUGCUUAGCAUGCAUGAGGUCCUGAGUUCAAUCCCCAGUCCCUCCA